rnacentral:rRNA from 1 species
GACGAACGCUGGCGGCGUGCUUAACACAUGCAAGUCGAACGAGAAGAGAUGAGAAGCUUGCUUCUUAUUGAUUCGAGUGGCAAACGGGUGAGUAACGCGUAAGCAACCUGCCCUUCAGAUGGGGACAACAGCUGGAAACGGCUGCUAAUACCGAAUACGUUCUUUUGUCGCAUGGCAGAGGGAAGAAAGGGAGGCUCUUCGGAGCUUUCGCUGAAGGAGGGGCUUGCGUCUGAUUAGCUAGUUGGUAGGGUAACGGCCUGCCAAGGCGACGAUGGGUAGCCGACCUGAGAGGGUGAUCGGCCACAUUGGAACUGAGACACGGUCCAA